CUGCUGCUGCUGCUGGAAGUCUUUCUACACGGGGAUUAGCAGCCGCCUGUCUCUCCCUCUGUCUCUUUCUUCUCCUUUCCUUUCCUUUUUCCUCCUUUCCCUCAAAUGCUUGACUGACGGACAGCGGGCAUAAAAAGAACAGUCAAGCAUCAAAUAUUGAAACUGACAUCUGAAUUAAAGAGUGUGCAAAAAAUCUCUUCCGUCUUUAACUAUUGAAACAAACUAAAAUGGAAAACUGACUAAAAGAGACCUUCAGCAGUUGCUUUGAUUACCAAAGCAUAAAUAGUCUUUUGAGGACCUCCCCUGGGAUCUGAGUGUGUUAACCAGAGAAGGUCCUGAAAUAUGACAAGUACAAGAAUUUAUUUGUCCUGCACUGCCUGACUGCCUGACCCUUCAGCAUGGACUAAGAAGCUUGUACUGCAGUAUUUGAUGUGCAUUUGUGAACAAGGUUCAUGGCAUUAAAUGCCAACAUCUAGAAGGUAGGAUAAAGAAGCUUCUGGAUGUACAGUUUUUUCAGUGUCAUCACUGCAAGAUGAAGAAUAUUGAUGAAUGAAUGAGCAAAGAUU